AGUAGCGCAUCGGUGGUCUUCACGACGUACACCCAGAAGCACCCGUCCAUCGAGGACGGGCCUCCAUUUGUGGAGCCGCUGCUCAACUUCAUCUGGUUCCUGCUGCUGGCUGUGGACGGUGGGAAGCUGACGGUGUUCACUGUGCUGUGUGAGCAGUACCAGCCAUCCCUCCGGCGGGACCCGAUGUACAACGAGGUGAGGGCUUGGGGCUAGGGAGGGAGGAGGGGACCCCACGGCCUGGGUCCACCCGCUCUGAGCCCGCUGCCUGUGCCUUGCAGUACCUCGACCGCAUAGGACAGCUGUUCUUCGGCAUCCCGCCCAAGCAGACGUCUUCCUACGGAGGCCUGCUCGGGAACCUUCUGAGCAGCCUCAUGGGCUCCUCAGAGCAGGAGGAGGGGGAGGAGAGCCCCAGCGACGGCAGCCCCAUCGAGCUGGACUGAACUGGCCGGGUCACGUGGAGACACCACGGUCGACGACGGCUCGAGGGACGUUUCAGAGGCGAGUCCUGGGUGGCUCCUCGCCUGGGGGCUCCUGGCCCUGAGGCUGGCGGUGGCCACAUGCCGGCGCGUGUCUGUUUCUGUGCGGCGGCUCAGGGUGGCGCGGCUGCCAGUCGCUGUGCUGCUGGGACCCAAGAGUGGGGCGUCGCCCCUGCUGGCCGCCGCAUCCCCCGAGAUU
rnacentral:sRNA from 1 species